CCACCAGGCCGCUUGAUUCAGUGCCAAACCAAGCCCUGAACUGGGUCUGCGGCUCCCGGUGUGUCCCCCGUGCCCGGUGCAGCGUCACUGUGGGACACGGACUGGGGUUCUGACCUCCAUCCUUUAAUCCCGGGGCAGUUCGGGGUAGGAUCAGUGCUGCAGAAGCUGCUGGACUGGGAUGCAGGAGGCCUGGCCAGGACCCGGUUUAUCCCUCCGCCGAUUUGCUGAUUUUUGAUUUGAUGCCUUUGACCUCCUUCUGGAUCAUUCUGACCUGAAUAAGCAGCGAGCUGGGCUCGAAUUUGGGUCCCUAACACCCAGGAAAGCGAUUUGCAGAGCUUACUGUGAGGUACCAGCACAAGUAAUUACAGCAAAAUGGAGAUAAGAGUGUAUCCUGAACCCUGUGUCGUUUGGACCGGUGUGAAAUCCAGCCCUGUCCCACCCCUCCUGGCCAGUUCUGGAGGGCUGAGGAGUGUUAAAAAUACAGUAUUAAAAAUAGGCAUUGAGGCCUUGGGGAGCGGGAGGCACGGGAGGAUUCCAGGAGCUGGGACACACGAGUUCCAUUUUUCCCCACUCCUUACAGGGCUGUGACCUGUGAGGGCAAAGCCAAGCAAUCCCACCACAGGGACACUGAGGAGGACGAGGAGAAGGGAGGUGUCCCUGUGGGCACGGAGGCUAUGGCUCACACAAAGUCCCAUCUGUACCAGCCUCUCUUCAGGAUCCCCUUUCCCUGAGAAUGUGGAUUCCAAAUCCACCAGAAACAGCAGAACUUUGUGACACACGCAGAAAUCGCUAUGAGGAGCACGGAAAAGGGGUGGAUGCAUCUUGAGGAAAAGAGACAAAAUCUGGGAAAUAACUUCUACUCCAGGAGACUUGGAGAUAAAGAUCACCAGACCACUAAAUCAUCCACAGGCUGAGGCCAGAAUAUGAGAACUUUUUGACUGAAACAGUCCUGAUCCUGUUUGAAGUGGAAGUAUUCCUCCCCAAGGGGGUUAUUGGAGGCGUCUCAGAACUUGUCCUGUACUGAUAUAAGCUUGGCUUUAUUUCCUUAUUAGGUGUGAUUCUUUAUAUCUUUCUUGGAUCAUUUCCCCAGUUCAUUACCAACCCAUCCCAGCUUAAGAGUUAAUUUGGUAUCACCCAGUUCAGAUGUUGUAAUUCACUCCUUAGGUUCUCCCACAUGUCCUUUGAUUCUGCUGGAGUGGAUCCACCCUCGUUCCCUGGUCUGGAUCUCUGUCUCAGUCAUCACCAGCACCUGAAAAGGACCUUCCCUAUUGUGGAGUUAAAAAUUAUUUUUUUCUAUGUUUUCACUAAUACCCAUUCCCCUGAAUGGAUAUUAUGGGUUUUAAAUUCUGAAGGUGUGAAUUGAGGGAUUAUCUCCUUCAACUGCAAAUUUUUAAGUGCUUUUGUUGUUGUAAUGACAUAUUUCUUAACACUCAUUUCCUCUGCCUCAUAAGUAGCACUUUCAUGUUGGGUGGUUAAAAAGAGUAAUCCAAACACCAUGUUAUAGGAUGACACUUUUAGGUUUAACUUGGGUUGUGUUUGGACCCUUAACAGAGUCAAGAUAAACAUUUUACUUACAACAUUUGGGUUUCAAUUACUAUUAUUAAUUUCAUUAAAGUUCUUUUUAAAGUCUGGA